AACGAACGCUGGCGGCAUGCCUAACACAUGCAAGUCGAACGAGAUCUUCGGGUCUAGUGGCGCACGGGUGCGUAACGCGUGGGAAUCUGCCCUUUGGUUCGGAAUAACAGUUGGAAACGACUGCUAAUACCGGAUGAUGACGAAAGUCCAAAGAUUUAUCGCCAGAGGAUGAGCCCGUGUAGGAUUAGCUAGUUGGUGUGGUAAAGGCGCACCAAGGCGACGAUCCUUAGCUGGUCUGAGAGGAUGAUCAGCCACACUGGGACUGAGACACGGCCCAGACUCCUACGGGAGGCAGCAGUGGGGAAUAUUGGACAAUGGGCGAAAGCCUGAUCCAGCAAUGCCGCGUGAGCGAUGAAGGCCUUAGGGUUGUAAAGCUCUUUUACCCGGGAUGAUAAUGACAGUACCGGGAGAAUAAGUUCCGGCUAACUCCGUGCCAGCCGCCGCCGUAA
rnacentral:rRNA from 1 species